GUCUGUGAGAUGCUUAGCGAGCCGAGUCCCUAUGAUAAAGGACCCCGGAUGUGUUCGAAACUAGUCGGGCUUACAUCGACU